rnacentral:rRNA from 1 species
GGACGAACGCUGGCGGCGUGCGUUCAUACAUGCAAGUCGAACGAGAAGCUGACUUCGGUCAGUGGAAAGUGGCGGACGGGUGAGUAAUAUGUAGAGAAUCUGCCCUUGAGUGGGGGACAACAGAGGGAAACUUCUGCUAAUACCCCAUAUGAGCUAACUUGAAAUAGUUAUCUUGAAAACUCCGGUGCUCAAGGAUGAGUCUGCAUCUGAUUAGCUAGUUGGCGGUGUAAUGGACCACCAAGGCGACGAUCAGUAGCUGGUUUGAGAGGAUGAUCAGCCACAAUGGGACUGAGACACGGCCCAUACUCCUACGGGAGGCAGCAGUAGGGAAUUUUGCGCAAUGGGCGAAAGCCCUGACGCAGCAACGCCGCGUGAACGAUUAAGCCCUUCGGGGUGUAAAGUUCUGUCAGUAGGGACGAAUUUUGACGGUACCUACAGAGGAAGCACCGGCUAACUCCGUGCCAGCCGCCGC